rnacentral:tRNA from 1 species
AGGGAUGUAGCUCAGUGGUAGAGUGCUUGCCUAGCAUGUAUGUGGUUCUGGGUUUGAUCCUCAACACCACAG